rnacentral:rRNA from 1 species
UACGAAGGGGGCUAGCGUUGCUCGGAAUUACUGGGCGUAGAGCGCACGUAGGCGGCUCUUUAAGUCGGGGGUGAAAUCCUGGAGCUCAACUCCAGAACUGCCUUCGAUACUGGAGAGCUUGAGUCCAGGAGAGGUGAGUGGAACUGCGAGUGUAGAGGUGAAAUUCGUAGAUAUUCGCAAGAACACCAGUGGCGAAGGCGGCUCACUGGCCCGGUACUGACGCUGAGGUGCGAAAGCGUGGGGAGCAAACAGG